UACGGAAGGAGUUAGCGUUGUUCGGAAUUACUGGGCGUAAAGCGCACGUAGGCGGCCGUUCAAGUCAGAGGUGAAAGCCCGGGGCUCAACCCCGGAAUAGCCUUUGAAACUAGAUGGCUUGAAUCUUGGAGAGGUCAGUGGAAUUCCGAGUGUAGAGGUGAAAUUCGUAGAUAUUCGGAAGAACACCAGUGGCGAAGGAGAUUGAAGGGACAAGUAUUGACGUUGAGGAGCGAAAGCGUGGGGAGCAAACAGG
rnacentral:rRNA from 1 species